UGCUUCGUAGCUCAGCUGGUAGAGCGAUUGCCGCGUUUAGGCAUGUUGUUUCUGUCGCUGAUUCGAAUCCAGCCGAAGCCC
rnacentral:tRNA from 1 species